GCACUAGUAGCUCAAACAGAGCACCGACCUUGUAAGCCGAAUGUUGGAGGUUAAAGUCCCCCCUACUGCU
rnacentral:tRNA from 2 species